UACACUAUAUAUAUAAUGUGUGUGUGUGUUUGUGUGUGUGUGUGUAUAUAUAUAUAUUUUGAGAUGAAAUCUCACUCUUUUGCCCAGGCUGGAGUGCAGUGGUGCAGUGGUGCAAUCUCGGCUCACUGCAACCUCCGCCUCCUGGGUUCAAGCGAUUCCUGUGCCUCAGCCUUCCGAGUAGCUGGGAUUACAGGCAUGUGCCACCACGCCCAGCUAAUUUUUUUUUUUUUUUUUUUUUUUUUGUAUUUUUAGUAGAGACAGGGUUUUACCAUGUUGGCCAGGCUGGUCUCAAACUCCUGAUCUCAAGAGAUCUGCCUGCCUCGGCCUCCCAAAGUUCUGGGAUUACAGGACCCCCCAAACCCCCCACCGAGCUGGAGCCUGAGCCGGAGAUAGAGGGGCUGCUGACACCAGUGCUGGAGGCUGGCGAUGUGGAUGAAGGCCCUGUAGCAAGGCCUCUCAGCCCCACGAGGCUGCAGCCAGCACUGCCACCGGAGGCACAGUCGGUGCCCGAGCUGGAGGAGGUGGCACGGGUGUUGGCGGAAAUUCCCCGGCCCCUCAAACGCAGGGGCUCCAUGGAGCAGGCCCCUGCUGUGGCCCUGCCCCCUACCCACAAGAAACAGUACCAGCAGAUCAUCAGCCGCCUCUUCCAUCGUCAUGGGGGGCCAGGGCCCGGGGGGCCGGAGCCAGAGCUGUCCCCCAUCACUGAGGGAUCUGAGGCCAGGGCAGGGCCCCCUGCUCCUGCCCCACCAGCUCCCAUUCCACCCCCGGCCCCGUCCCAGAGCAGCCCACCAGAGCAGCCGCAGAGC
rnacentral:lncRNA from 10 species